AUAUUUUAUUAUGUUACAAAUUUAAUAAAUGGAAUUAUUAUAGCAGUCGUAUAGUAGAAGUUAUUGUAGUUUACGUUUCGGCAACACCGUGUACUGAAAAAAUGAAUGAAUUCUAUUGAACAAAAUGGCGUUUGUUUACAUUUGUGGUUUGACGAUAAAGAAGGAUUGAAUAACUUUUAAGCUAGCUUUUUUUUAAAUCGUAGAAGUUACUGCGUAAUUAUGGUGAAUACUUGUGUUGUAAGAGGAUGUAAGCAAUAAUCCUAUCCAGGUUGUGGAAUAUCCUUUCAUAGGAUUCCAGUUAAUAAAGAGUGGAGGGCCUUGUGGGUUGAUGCCAUGAACCUUGAUACUAAUGUGACAAAAACUGCAUGUGUUUGUAGCUUACAUUUUACUGAUGAUGCGUAUUUAACAGUAGCUAAGAAUAAGUUAAAGCCACAAGCAGUUCCUUCAGUAUUGCCUAAGAUAGUUCCACAAAGCAACAAAAUUACAGUUCUGCGUAUUCAAAAGUUGAAAGGAGUGUCUUUUUUACAUACUUCAUCUUCUAGUCAUAUCACAGUAGUAGGAACUUCUUAUGAACGAAGAGGACCUUCUAGUAAACGGGAUGAUAUAGAAAUUUCUGGUGAACCGCCCAAUAAAAAAAACAAAAAAGAAGAAUCAAGCAAUAAAUAUUAUAUAUUGGUUACCCAUUGUGUUUUAUUUCCUAAAAUAUUGGUUACAGAUUUAGAAAUCUUUUAUAGAUAAAAAGCUUCCGUAUUUUCUACUGCUACUUGUCUUGUUUCACCGGUCCUGUGGACGACCCGUCGUGUAUGUUGCGCUGCCGCAAAAUUGAGCGCUACUCUGUAACUCUUUGCACUAAGUUAAUACUAUUAAUAUACACGUUAUACCUGGGCCUCUACCUACGGAAAU